rnacentral:rRNA from 1 species
GGAUCCAGACUUUGAUCAUGGCUCAGGAUGAACGCUAGCUACAGGCUUAACACAUGCAAGUCGAGGGGCAGCGGGAUUGAAGCUUGCUUCAAUUGCCGGCGACCGGCGCACGGGUGAGUAACGCGUAUCCAAUCUUCCGUACACUCAGGGAUAGCCUUUCGAAAGAAAGAUUAAUACCUGAUAGUAUCUUAAGCACACAUGUAAUUAAGAUUAAAGAUUUAUCGGUGUACGAUGGGGAUGCGUUCCAUUAGGUAGUAGGCGGGGUAACGGCCCACCUAGCCAACGAUGGAUAGGGGUUCUGAGAGGAAGGUCCCCCACAUUGGAACUGAGACACGGUCCAAACUCCUACGGGAGGCAGCAGUGAGGAAUAUUGGUCAAUGGACGAGAGUCUGAACCAGCCAAGUAGCGUGAAGGAUGAAGGUCCUACGGAUUGUAAACUUCUUUUAUAAGGGAAUAAACCCUCCCACGUGUGGGAGCUUGUAUGUACCUUAUGAAUAAGCAUCGGCUAACUCCGUGCCAGCAGCCGCGGUAAUACGGAGGAUGCGAGCGUUAUCCGGAUUUAUUGGGUUUAAAGGGAGCGCAGACGGGUCGUUAAGUCAGCUGUGAAAGUUUGGGGCUCAACCUUAAAAUUGCAGUUGAUACUGGCGUCCUUGAGUGCGGUUGAGGUGUGCGGAAUUCGUGGUGUAGCGGUGAAAUGCUUAGAUAUCACGAAGAACUCCGAUUGCGAAGGCAGCACACUAAUCCGUAACUGACGUUCAUGCUCGAAAGUGUGGGUAUCAAACAGGAUUAGAUACCCUGG